GUUGCAACUGGGAUUCAAACUAUGGUCAGCCAUGUAGACUGGACAAAAAGGCAGUCGUCCUGAUAAAAUUGAGAUGGCGGCUUUCUCAGGCAUCCAGUUAUGACCUGUCUCAUCUACAGAAGAAAGGGAAACUGAGGAACCAUCCCUUCACACAUGAUAAACCAUCUGGUUACAAAUGAGAUCCAAACCAUGAGAAACACAAGCAAGAA